rnacentral:rRNA from 1 species
AUACGAAGGGGGCUAGCGUUGCUCGGAAUGACUGGGCGUAAAGGGCGCGUAGGCGGUAUGGACAGUCAGAUGUGAAAUUCCUGGGCUUAACCUGGGGGCUGCAUUUGAUACGUCCAAACUAGAGUGUGAGAGAGGGUUGUGGAAUUCCCAGUGUAGAGGUGAAAUUCGUAGAUAUUGGGAAGAACACCGGUGGCGAAGGCGGCAACCUGGCUCAUAACUGACGCUGAGGCGCGAAAGCGGUGGGGAGC